CAACGAACGAAAGGAGGUGAUCCAGUGUCUCAUUGUCAUCAGCCGCUGUCGGCGACCAAGACCUGGACCGUUACCUCCGGCGAGAGCAUCUAGCUUUCGCGGGAUACGCGACAGGUUUCGUCGAACCGCGGUUCGACAAUGGAAGGGCCGCCCUCAUCGGGGCGGCCCU
rnacentral:sRNA from 1 species